rnacentral:sRNA from 1 species
UUGUUUUGCCUCGAUUUUGGUUCCACAACAACAACAUCAGUGUUGCCAUUUUAGCCUAUUUAAAGCUAGAUCAGGCUUAUUUGAAAACGGAAAAGCUUGAAAUAUUAUGAAAAUGCUUAUAGCCUUAAAUCUAGCCUUUUUUAAUUUCACUUUGUUUAUGUUUGCCUUUUUAUAUCCUACAUAUAUUUUUAGGCAAAUCGAACAAAAAGUAUAUUUGUUGUACAUAUUUUGGUGUAUCAUGGUAUUUUAGAAUUCAUUUAUGGCAUAUUUUCGUUGAAAAGUUUCGGUCACUACUACACAGAAACUUGGCGAUCGUGUGAAAUGUGUAAUUGUGUAAAAUUGAGGUGCAAGGAUUUUAUAAAGGAGCUUAUUAUCCAACUCAGAGAAAGAUUUCCAGAUAAUUUUGAGACAUUGGAAAAACUGCAAGUUUUAGCAGCAGAAAAUGUACUCGAACAUAAUAAAAAUCCUAAUGAUCUCAUUUCCAUAUUGGAACACUUCAACUAUAGCAAUAUAGAUGGAAUUCUUGCCCAAUAUGGCAAAAUUCACUGAGUCCCUUGGCAAAGUACAGAUGAGUUAUGGAUUGCGCCGUCAUGGCAAAUGUUGCCACAACUACCAAUUAACGGAGAAAUAUUUAAAUUUAAUACGUUCCAGCGAUAAAUAUACCGAUUCGAGUAUUAGCGAGUCGGAUAAAAUUAUAACACAAUUAGAAAUGUGUAUAUCUAUGUGUUUUUUUAUGUUUAGCCUAUUUUUUGGCCCGUUUUUUUUUUAC